GCCUAACACAUGCAAGUCGAGCGGCAGCGCGGGGGCAACCGUGGCGGCGAGCGGCGGAGGGGUGAGGAAUGCGUCGGAAUCUGCCUCUUUGUGGGGGAUAACGUUAGGAAGCUUACGCUAAUACCGCUUACGACCUACGGCUGAAAGGGGGGGACCUUCGCCCCUCACGCUGACAGAUGAGCCGACGCCGGAUUAGCUAGAUGGCGGGGUAAAGGCCCACCAAGGCGACGAUCCGUAUCUGGUCUGAGAGGAUGAUCAGCCACACUGGAACUGAGACACGGUCCAGACUCCUACGGGAGGCAGCAGUGGGGAAUAUUGGACAAUGGGCGCAAGCCUGAUCCAGCCAUGCCGCGUGUGUGAAGAAGGCCUUCGGGGUUGUAAAGCACUUUUGUCCGGAAAGAAAUCCUUUCAGUUAAUACCUGGGAGGGAUGACGGUACCGGAAGAAUAAGCACCGGCUAACUUCGUGCCACCAGCCCGCGGUAAUACGAAGGGUGCAAGCGUUACUCGGAAUUACUGGGCGUAAAGCGUGCGUAGGUGGUUCGUUAAGUCUGAUGUGAAAGCCCUGGGCUCAACCUGGGAAUGGCAUUGGAUACUGGCGACCUAGAGUGCGGUAGAGGGGUGCGGAAUUCCCGGUGUAGCAGUGAAAUGCGUAGAUAUCGGGAGGAACAUCCGUGGCGAAGGCCGCACCCUGGACCAGCACUGACACUGACGCACGAAAGCGUGGGGCACAAACAGGUAUUAGAUACCGUGGUAGUCCACGCCCUAAACGAUGCGAACUGGAUGUUGGGUGCAACUUCGCUCUCAGUAUCGAAGCUAACGUGUUAAGUUCGCCGCGUGGGAAGUACUGUCGCAAGACUGAAACUAAGAAGAAUUCACGGGGGCCCGCACAAGCGGUGGAGUAUGUGGUUUAAUUCGAUGCAACGCGAAGAACCUCACGUCGCCUUGACAUGUCGAGAAUCCCUGAGAGAUGGGGGAGUGUCUUCGAGACCUCAAACACAGGUGCUGCAUGGCUGUUCUCAUCUCGUGUCGUGAGAUGUUGUUUUAAGUCCCGCAACGAGCACACCCCUUGUCUUUAGUUCACAGCACGUAAUGGUGGGAACUAUAAGGAGACCGCCGGUGACAAACCGGAGGAAGGUGGGGAUGACGUCAAGUCAUCAUGGCCCUUACGCCCAGGGCUACACACGUACUACAAUGGGAAGGACAGAGGGCUGCAAACCCGCGAGGGCGACCCAAUCCCAGAAACCUUCUCUCAGUCCGGAUUGGAGUCUGCAACUCGACUCCAUGAAGUCGGAAUCUCUAGUAAUCGCAGAUCAGCAUUGCUGCGGUGAAUGUUUUCCCGGGCCUUGUACACCCCGCCCGUCACCCCAUGGGAGUUUGUUGCACCAGAAGCAGGUAGCUUAACCGCAAGGGGGGCGCUUGCCACGGUGUGUCCGAUGACUGGGGUGAAGUUGUCACAAGGUAGCCGUAUCGGAAGGUGCGGCUGUAUCACCUCC
rnacentral:rRNA from 1 species